rnacentral:tRNA from 1 species
GCCCCGGUCGUCUAGCCCGGCCACCCUUGCCCGGGCCGCGAGGAUCCCAGUCUUUCGAACUGGGGACCCGGGUUCAAAUCCCGGCCGGGGCACCA